AUGGACCACAUACACACUAUUGUUGUUUUUUUUAAUUUAAAUUUUCAGCUAAACCGAAUUUACAAGAAGAUGCUCUGCAGUGUAAACACAAAGCAGUGGCCCCAACUCAGGGCCAGAAAGGAAGGGAGGCUGCUUCUUCUUCUUCUUCAGACUACUUCUCCUGCAUCUCUUCUGAAGACAAGCACACUGUUGCUCGAGUCUCAAAGUUACAUGAAUAUGAUCUACCAUCUGGCUACUCUUGGGAGUACAAUGCCCUGGUACCUGAGGCAAGAAGUGGAGCCUCUGAAUCAGAAUACUUCUCCUGUGACUCCUCUUUUUCCAAUCCCUCUUGUUCUGAAUUCUGGAAGACUCCAGAGGAUACUUCUCAGCCUGAAUCAUAUGUGGAGGUCCCAGUCUGCAGUCAGACACCAGGAGAAAAGUCCUCUGACUCAGAAUAUUUCUCCUGUGUCUCCUCACCAUGCAAGCUUAUUUUUGCUGAUGAGGACGUUUUCUUACAGCAGCACAGACCCAGUGGUGCGAAGAUUUCAAACAAUGGUGUCCUGCACACUCCAAUGAUCUGAUAGCAGUUCUUGUGAGCCCCAUAGCAUCGAGGUAGGACUGGCCUGAAGAUGGAUGUCUCUGAUUCUCUGUGGCUGCUUUCAGUUGUUCUGGGGUACAUAUGGCACUCAACUCUGGAGAAAAUAGCCACAUAGAGCUGUGAGAUCAAGGAAUACUGGGGAUACUGUAUGCUCAGGAGACCUGUGGAAAAACUUUCUCCCUCCUGUUACCCACACACAGAGAGUCAGGGGGCUACUGAAGAUACUUGAACCACGGCCUUGUGGAAGAGAAAACAGUAUAGGUAGAAAGAUGUUAGUACUUAGGGAGGCAAGUGUUUCAUACCUAGAGCUAUCAUCAGUAGAACAGAAAACUGAUGACACUCAGCCGGAAUUUAGGGCAAAAGAUUCCUAAAGUGACAGAGGGUUUAAAAAAAUACCCUCUCUUUCUACUUUGAGUUCUACUUUUAUCUUCUCAAGUCCCUUUCAUUUAUUAUAGCUAGAACACCUGGCUCAGUCUUACUCUCCAGCCCAGAUCUUUUCCUUCACUCCUACUUUAUAACCCUUCCCCAUAUAGAAAUCCAUGAAUGCAUGCUUGAUGCAAACAUGUGAAACACAGCAGAAUUUAAUGGUACAGAUCAUAAUACCCAUUCUGCCGUGCAUUCACCCUCAUGCAUUUCUCUCAAAGCAGUGCAUAUUUUUCUAUAUCCUUUUAAGGUAACUCAUACUUUUUCCUUAUGACCUUUUAAUACAUUCACUGCACAGUUAUCUGCCUGAAGGACAGGCAUUCUUAUUGUUGAGGAAGAUAAGGUACUGCACAAAUGAAACCAAAGGCAAUUAAAACUCACUCCUUGGCUUCUCUGGGCUUAAGUACUUGAAGGUGCACAAACACUUCUUAUUCAGUCAUAUUAGGAAUGAUGGAACAUCUAAAAAUCAUCUGAAAAAAUCAUGUAUGUGUAUAUACAGGUAUCAUGAGGCAGUUUUAAGCAUAAUAACUUUAGAAGUAUAAAAGCUAUGAACUUUUAGAAAAUAUAAUUUGUUUUAAUUAUUUGCAUGUCAUUUACAUGUUUAAUUCCGCACAUUUUCAAAGAUUAAAUUUAAUUUCUCUUUGUCAUCCUGACAUCUUCAAUCAGAAGGAGGGAAACAAAAAUAAACAUUAAAAAGUGUUAUGGGCAAUUCACAAAACUAUGUAGGAAAAGGGAAAUUAAAAUAGUUCAACUUUCGAGUGAUUUUUUUUAUAAUUUGUAGCUUUUACCGUCCUGAAAUUAUUAAAGCUUAGAACUGUACUACAACAUUUUGGAAACCUGUGUAUAUACAUUUUUGAUUAUCUUGAAACUUUUAGACUUGUGUGCAAUGAAUGGUAUUUGUAUCUGUGUGUGUACAAGUUUCUCUCUUCAGAUGAUUUAUAGUUGCUUUUGCUUUUAUUGGCCUAAAACUGUUUCUUUCUUCUCUUGAUAAGACACCCUACCUUUUGGACAAAUGUGUGGGCAAGUCAAGCUGGCCAAGUGAGGUCAUUACUUCACUAACUGGCUUCCCUGAUGACCUAGUAAACAUCAAUCCAUGUUGGAUCAAUCUGUACUAAUAACUUGGAAAAUUAAAAUAGAAGAGAUGGAGAUACUACUGGACUUGCUUCAAUCCCUCUUUGUUCAAAGACCUGGCUGUUUUGCCUGUUAUUUUGAUUUACUAGGUAUCCCCACUAACAUUUUAAUAAAUCCUUGUUUUACCUCAAUUAUCCUGAAUUAUUUACUGUUGUCUGUAACCUAAUGUACCUUAAUUGGUGCAAAUUAGCUUCAACCUGAUAAUUGAUUUCAUUUUAAUGGUUGAAAUGAUACAGUCUAGAAGAGAGUAACCUAUGUCUUUGACUUUAUACUGGAACAGUAAGGGAUAAAAUUAUACACAGUAUUUACAGUAUGUCCUUGUUUAAUUAGGAAAGUACAUUGAAAAUGUUUGGGUAUAUAAACAAUAUUAUUUCAAUGAAUAAAAUGGCAUUCAUUAUAUUAGACAUGGUAAAUCCCUUACUGCUAUUUAGCAGCUUUGACUACUUUCUGAGUCAUCACUCUCAUCUUGAAAAUAGGCCUCAUAAUGAUGAAGAUAAUCAUUAUCAUAAGAGUAAUAAGACAGAGGUUAAAGCACCUAAUAUAGUCUCUGGAAUAAAUAGCAGAAUACGUUUUCAUUCAUUUUUGAAUUUUCUUUACCUAUGAGUAUCAGCAGUUUGAUUAUGAUGUGUAUGUGUAGGACUUUUUUUUUUUUUUUUUUUUUUUUUUUUUUUUUUUUUUUUUUUUUUUUUUUUUUUUU
rnacentral:lncRNA from 1 species